rnacentral:rRNA from 1 species
GACGAACCGUGCGAACGUUGUUCGGAUUCACUGGGCUUAAAGGGCGCGUAGGCGGGCGGCUCAGUCCGAGGUGAAAUCUUUCGGCUCAACCGGAAAAGUGCCUCGGAUACGGGUCGCCUCGAGGGAGGUAGGGGCAUGUGGAACUUCCGGUGGAGCGGUGAAAUGCGUAGAUAUCGGAAGGAACGCCGGUGGCGAAAGCGACGUGCCGGACCUCUUCUGACGCUGAGGCGCGAAAGCCAGGGGAGCAAACGGG